UACGGAAGGCAGCAGUGGGGAAUAUUGCACAAUGGGCGAAAGCCUGAUGCAGCUAUGCCGCGUGUAUGAAGAAGGCCUUAGGGUUGUAAAGUACUUUCAUCGGGGAGGAAAAAACAAAACUAAUAAUUUUAUUUCUUGACGUUACCCGAAAAAGAAGCACCGGCUAACUCCGUGCCAGCAGCCGCGGUAAUACGGAGGGUGCUAGCGUUAAUCAGAAUUACUGGGCGUAAAGAGCACGUAGGUGGUUUUUUUAAGUCAGAUGUGAAAUCCCUGGGCUUAACCUGGAACUGCAUUUUGAAACUGAAAUACUAGAGUAUCGUAGAGGGAGGUAGAAUUCUAGGUGUAGCGGUGAAAUGCGUAGAUAUCUGGAGGAAUACCUGUGGCGAAAGCGGCCUCUAAACGAAUACUGACACUGAGGUGCGAAAGCGUGGGGAGCAAACGAGGGAUUAGGAUA
rnacentral:rRNA from 1 species